AGGAAAUAGAAUAUGGUAUUUCGGAUCGGCAGAAACAGCCCCUAAGAAUAUCAAGCUGCUGCCUGUAGAGCCACAAUAGAUGAUGAUUGCCCUUGAUAAUUUUUGAUGAAACCAUUGAAGGCAGUACUAUGUGAAUGAAACAUGUGCGACAUUCUUGUAGACAUUUUGAAGUAUUAUCAUCACAGGGCGUGACAGUUGUCAGAACCAGCACCUGAGACUAGCAAGUGUCUUUCUGGAGAGGACGUUCAGCACUUCCCCCUACCCUCCGGCCUGGGCAGAGGACCAGCGGCGGAGGAGCCAGACCAGGGCACUUCUAACAGACCGUUAAGAGUACAUCCCGUUUCAAGAGAUGUAUUCUGGAAGAGCCUCGAGUCAUGUAGGACCAGCCAAGUGAAAAAAGUACAUCCAGUUUGAAGAGAUGCAUUGUGGAAGAGCAUGGAGUCAUGUAGGACCAGCCAACAGAGAUGGGCGUGACAGUUGUCAGAACCAGCACCUGAGACUAGCAAGUGUCUUUCUGGAGAGGACGUUCAGCACUUCCCCCUACCCUCCGGCCUGGGCAGAGGACCAGCGGCGGAGGAGCCAGACCAGGGCACUUCUAACAGACCGUUAAGAGUACAUCCCGUUUCAAGAGAUGUAUUCUGGAAGAGCCUCGAGUCAUGUAGGACCAGCCAAGUGAAAAAGGCGUGACAGUUGUCAGAACCAGCACAUGAGACUAGCAAGUGUCUUUCUGGAGAGGACGUUCAGCACUUCCCCCUACCCUCCGACCUGGGCAGAGGACCAGCGGCGGAGGAGCCAGACCAGGGCACUUCUAACAGACCGUUAAGAGUACAUCCCGUUUCAAGAGAUGUAUUCUGGAAGAGCCUCGAGUCAUGUAGGACCAGCCAAGUGAAAAAGGCGUGACAGUUGUCAGAACCAGCACAUGAGACUAGCAAGUGUCUUUCUGGAGAGGACGUUCAGCACUUCCCCCUACCCUCCGACCUGGGCAGAGGACCAGCGGCGGAGGAGCCAGACCAGGGCACUUCUAACAGACCGUUAAGAGUACAUCCCGUUUCAAGAGAUGUAUUCUGGAAGAGCCUCGAGUCAUGUAGGACCAGCCAAGUGAAAAAGGCGUGACAGUUGUCAGAACCAGCACCUGAGACUAGCAAGUGUCUUUCUGGAGAGGACGUUCAGCACUUCCCCCUACCCUCCGGCCUGGGCAGAGGACCAGCGGCGGAGGAGCCAGACCAGGGCACUUCUAACAGACCGUUAAGAGUACAUCCCGUUUCAAGAGAUGUAUUCUGGAAGAGCCUCGAGUCAUGUAGGACCAGCCAAGUGAAAAAGGCGUGACAGUUGUCAGAACCAGCACCUGAGACUAGCAAGUGUCUUUCUGGAGAGGACGUUCAGCACUUCCCCCUACCCUCCGGCCUGGGCAGAGGACCAGCGGCGGAGGAGCCAGACCAGGGCACUUCUAACAGACCGUUAAGAGUACAUCCCGUUUCAAGAGAUGUAUUCUGGAAGAGCCUCGAGUCAUGUAGGACCAGCCAAGUGAAAAAGGCGUGACAGUUGUCAGAACCAGCACCUGAGACUAGCAAGUGUCUUUCUGGAGAGGACGUUCAGCACUUCCCCCUACCCUCCGGCCUGGGCAGAGGACCAGCGGCGGAGGAGCCAGACCAGGGCACUUCUAACAGACCGUUAAGAGUACAUCCCGUUUCAAGAGAUGUAUUCUGGAAGAGCCUCGAGUCAUGUAGGACCAGCCAAGUGAAAAAGGCGUGACAGUUGUCAGAACCAGCACCUGAGACUAGCAAGUGUCUUUCUGGAGAGGACGUUCAGCACUUCCCCCUACCCUCCGGCCUGGGCAGAGGACCAGCGGCGGAGGAGCCAGACCAGGGCACUUCUAACAGACCGUUAAGAGUACAUCCCGUUUCAAGAGAUGUAUUCUGGAAGAGCCUCGAGUCAUGUAGGACCAGCCAAGUGAAAAAGGCGUGACAGUUGUCAGAACCAGCACCUGAGACUAGCAAGUGUCUUUCUGGAGAGGACGUUCAGCACUUCCCCCUACCCUCCGGCCUGGGCAGAGGACCAGCGGCGGAGGAGCCAGACCAGGGCACUUCUAACAGACCGUUAAGAGUACAUCCCGUUUCAAGAGAUGUAUUCUGGAAGAGCCUCGAGUCAUGUAGGACCAGCCAAGUGAAAAAGGCGUGACAGUUGUCAGAACCAGCACCUGAGACUAGCAAGUGUCUUUCUGGAGAGGACGUUCAGCACUUCCCCCUACCCUCCGGCCUGGGCAGAGGACCAGCGGCGGAGGAGCCAGACCAGGGCACUUCUAACAGACCGUUAAGAGUACAUCCCGUUUCAAGAGAUGUAUUCUGGAAGAGCCUCGAGUCAUGUAGGACCAGCCAAGUGAAAAAGGCGUGACAGUUGUCAGAACCAGCACCUGAGACUAGCAAGUGUCUUUCUGGAGAGGACGUUCAGCACUUCCCCCUACCCUCCGGCCUGGGCAGAGGACCAGCGGCGGAGGAGCCAGACCAGGGCACUUCUAACAGACCGUUAAGAGUACAUCCCGUUUCAAGAGAUGUAUUCUGGAAGAGCCUCGAGUCAUGUAGGACCAGCCAAGUGAAAAAGGCGUGACAGUUGUCAGAACCAGCACCUGAGACUAGCAAGUGUCUUUCUGGAGAGGACGUUCAGCACUUCCCCCUACCCUCCGGCCUGGGCAGAGGACCAGCGGCGGAGGAGCCAGACCAGGGCACUUCUAACAGACCGUUAAGAGUACAUCCCGUUUCAAGAGAUGUAUUCUGGAAGAGCCUCGAGUCAUGUAGGACCAGCCAAGUGAAAAAGGCGUGACAGUUGUCAGAACCAGCACCUGAGACUAGCAAGUGUCUUUCUGGAGAGGACGUUCAGCACUUCCCCCUACCCUCCGGCCUGGGCAGAGGACCAGCGGCGGAGGAGCCAGACCAGGGCACUUCUAACAGACCGUUAAGAGCACAUCCAAUUUCAACAAAUGCAUCCUGGAAGAGCGUUGAGUCAAGUAGGACCAAACUGAGUCGAUAGUUCUGUAAAACACCUACUCUAUCAAUCGAUCAAUCAAGUAUCCUGGAUCAAUAACAACAUCAAUCACAUAGGAGCAGCCAGGAGAGAUGAUGGGAAUUGCAUUAUUGUGUGUCUGUCUUGCUUUUGAAGUAUGGUAUACCGCGGUGACUUAAGCAUAUCUGGGAAAAUGUUAUGAUGAUUUUGAGAUUAAUUUUUUCUUUUUCAAAAGUGAUUCUGAAUAUUUUUUUCAAUGCAUUACCCAAAAGAGUAAUCAAAUUGGGGUGUAUUUAUUUUUUCCCAGCUAUAUGCUUCAGUCACCUCGGGGUGCAAUUGUUACAACAGUUUACGGGCUACAGUCAAACCUUGUACAGCCCCGCCAUUAUAAUGUUUGUCAUAGUCCUUUUGGUUUUUGUGUUGUAAUUGUAGUGGUCUUUGUGUGUCAUUGUCGUAGUGGGUCAAAGUCGUUGUUAUCGAGGGUCGAAGUUAUUGUGGUGGUUAUCGUUGGUCGAAGUCGUCAUGGUUAUUGAGGGUCGAAGUUGUUGUCAUGGUUAUGGUUAUUGUGGGUCGAAGUUGUUGUUAUGUUUAUCGUUGGUCGAAGUCGUCAUGGUUGUCGAGGGUCGAAGUUGUUGUCAUGGUUAUCGUGGGUCGAAGUUGUUGUCAUGGUUAUCAUUGGUCGAAGUUGUUGUCAUGGUUAUCGAGGGUCGAAGUCAUUGCGGUUGCAGUUGUUGUGGUUGUCCUUGUCAAAGUUGUCGAAGUUGUUGUGUGUCAAAGUCAUCAUGUGUGGGUCGGUGGUCUGGUGGGGCUUGCUUUUUCUUUCCCUUCAAGGAAGCGUUAUCCUUACCUCUCCUUCUCCUUUUUUGUGUUUGUUACUCACU